GUGUGUGUGUGUGUGCGCGUGCGCGCGUGCGCACACACACGCACACGCGCGCAUAUGCCUUAACAAAGUUAAGGUUGUAUCAGAAAGAAGGAAGAAGGAAAUGGAUGCAGGGGAGGGAACCUACAACAUCCAUUACUUGCUUUCCCGUACAGUCUCCAGCUGCCCAUUUGGGAUUUUGAAUUCCAACGAGCCCGUGGAAGGUUAGUCCCUAAUCACCCUAGAUUGUAGCCCUGUGACACCUCAGGACUUCCACGACAGGACAUUUUCCUGGUGCUAAUUUACCAUAAAAAAACAGUGAAGAGACAUAAAAAGUGGACUUUUUUUUUUUUUUUUUUUUUGAUGAUGAUAAAAGCAAGACAUUAUUCUACGGAUGCCAGAAGGUAGAAAUAACUUUUUCAAGAAAUCUGGCCAUGAACAGGAGGAAGGAGUGCGUCGCAGGCAGGUGGGGUCUGCCUAAACACAGAUGAGAGAGUUUGGGCAGCUCGCUGGACCCAGAAGCAGCAGCUGGUCCUGAAGGAGAGGGCAGGAUGAGGAAUUCUGAUGAAUGCCUUUUCAAAGAACACCCAGCCCUGAAGUCAAACACCCUGCACUGCACGUUCACGGUGACGUUUAGCAUUUCCAUCCCAUUUGCUCAUGGCCUUGCUCAAUGGGCGGACUUUCCUUAACAUUCAAGGAAAUGGCCCCAAAGGGGCCACAGGGAACUCCCAGCCUUUCGUGGACAUCGCAGAAAUGGCAACUACGCGCGGACUCACACCUGGGACCCGCAGUGCUGCUGGGUCAUGCCUACUUCUCUGUCUUGCUGCUUCGCUAGAAGUCCAGCAGCGUCCCUGUUGAAGCCACGACGCCUGUGCUACAAGAAAGAGAGCACGGAACGGCGAGGGGCAGAGAGCGAGACCAAAGCACUGAGAGCAGAGACCCCUUCGUGGGGAUCGAACUUACACACCAUGAGAUCAUGACCUGAGCCGAAGUCGGAUGCGUAACAGACUGAGCCACCCAGGCGUCCCCACUCUCUGUCUCCUUGUCCUGCUUAUGUGCACCUAGAAUAGCCUCUCCUACGUCGCAGAUCUCAGAAUAUAGUUCUCCUCCGGCGGCGUUAGUGUCCUCACGCUCAUGACAGGUUCACACAGGCCUGUCUGCACCUGUGUCCUCAGCUCUGUCUUCACCUGGAUUUGUUCUCGUCGUCGGGCGUUGUCCUCAUCUCUUUUUUCAGAGUCUACUUUUACAAAAUGCAGAGAGAACAGAAAACAGAUGCUUUCCAAAAAUGUAUGUAUGUUUCCUAUAAAAAGAAAUCUUAAAAUGCA